rnacentral:lncRNA from 1 species
GAUUUCAGUGUUCUUGCUCUGCAUAUCUUGCUCUACCCUUGUGUUGAGAUUUGAUGAAUACCGAUUUGCCCUGCCUUUCUGGUUUUCUGUCGCUCUUUCCAUGCGGCAUGAUUCGAUGGUGAAAUGGAGAGUUCUUGCCUUAGAACCGGUAGUUUGUUCUGAGAAAAAUAUCAAAUCAAAUACUUGUAAAUAGUGCAUACUGCGUCAUUUCUCGGCGCAUCAAUUGAUUUUUUCACACGUGGGAAAAAAAAUGCUACAGCCAUUGGAAUUUAGCCUAUAUUGAAUAUCAGAUUCCCCACGGGGAGAGGUGGAGACAGAGAGCCCUCAAGCCCUCGACCUUCAGGAUGGGCAUGUUCUUCAACAGGCCUGCCUGUAUACAUCUGAAUAAGCCUAUGUACUAGUAGAAAAAGAUUUAGCUCUAUAAGAUUAACUGUUACUGUCAAAUUUGGUUAAUAAGUGGUUACUUAAAAAAGAACAAUUUUAUAGUGCUUAAAAAGUUAUCAGGAGAUACUAUUUUUUUCUAUGUAAUUUUGACACCUUAGAUACUAAAUUUGGUUAAUAAGUGGUUACUUAAAAAAUACCUCUUGGUAUCUAUUCAAAUACUAUAAAAUUGCUUAAAAAAUGUUGGUCAAAGAUAGCAAAGCACAACUUAAUCAACCAUGAAAGAUUCUAAUAGAGUAACAGUAGUACUCCUAAGGUUUUAAUAGAGCAACAAUAGUACUCCCUAAAUUUAUCUUUUCGUUUAUAUUUAAGUUUAUAAGUCAAAAUUUAAUUUUUUAAACCUUAAAUUUGGAGUUGAUUUUAUUAUUUUUAUUAUCAUUUAUUUUUUAGCCUUAGCUUUUAGAUCGCUGAGAACACAUAUAUAAGUUUUUUAUUUACAAAUAUUUUUUGUUUGUAAAUAUGUUGCUUGGUUUUUUCUACAAAACAAAAAACCAACCCCUAUGAUUCUUGUUGUCGUAGAUUGGUGCGAGUCAAACAUUUAAAAUUAUUUAUUUAUUUUUACAUAUAUUUUAGUAUAAAGUUAUAGUCAAAGUUAAAUUUAAAGAUCGUGUGAUAUCCAAAGCUAUAAAAACUUCGAAUUGGUGGGAGGAUUCCAUAACCUUUUUUCUUUUCAAAGAACAUACUACUACUACUCCAGCAGAGUAAAGUAGUACAGACUAACAGACGGACACUCUGCACGGCCACAUCGGUUGAGUGACUUACAUGCGGGCCCUACCUUACCUGCUGUGCAGUUGCGUCAGCGAUGGUUCCUCGGCAUGAUGCAAAGCUGAACACACACCAACUGGACGUAGCUUUUUAACACGUGAGUGGAUAUACGUACGUAUGUUAUCUAAAUAGUCAUAAACGAGUGUAGAUAUAUUUGUUGCUUGUAUGUUAUCUAAAUAGUCUAAAAAAUAAAAAAUAUAAAAAAAUUUAACAAGAUAGUUUAAUAUGAGUUAUAUCACUCCAACAACAUGCAAGUUUAAAUUCAACUUGUACAAAUUAUAGCAAAAAUAACAAAAAAUAAUUAUGAAUAUGCGUAUACUUGGUUUCAGUUUUGUUUGUUUUUUUGCUACAACUUGUAUAAGUUGAAUUUAAACUUGCAUGUUUAUAGAGUGAUAUAAAUCAUAUUAAUCUAUCUUGUCAAUUUUUUUAUAUUUCUUGAUAAUUAUUUAGAUGAUAUAUAAGAACACAAAUAUACCUGCUUCCCCGCACCGCCUGCCUUGGCACAUCCCUUUCCUGGCUUCAGGUCAAUUGGCCAAGCCCACCACAAUGCCAAAAAUAUUACUCGCCACCACGGAGGUAGUGCCAUGAUAGUAGCUGAGGUGUGGGUCCCAUUAUAUGUGGGACCCGUGUGUCGGUAACUAUAAUGGUGAGUGACACGGCUGGUGCUUGGAAACUUGCCGUCUCGCGCGAUUCCAUCGCGAGAGUUUCCUCUUCGUCCAUGAACCCAUGAACC